AUGAGUGAACCAUGUGCAUAUAUGUGUUCACUAGUCAAUCUUGGGGGAAAAUCCAAAAGCCUGCAACAUGUUUUCUGCUUCAGAGUGAUCAAUAUGGUCCAGAAAUCUCUCUUUUUCAAAGACAGCCCAAUAUCUUCUAUUAAAACUGUCUUUUUUCAUAGCUUGUCUUGUUGGUUAUCAUUUUUCUUCAAAGUUUUAUAUCUUAAAGUUUUUAAUCGCAACAUGAAGCAUUCUUCGAGCAUCGACUAG